AGUGAACGCUGGCGGUAGGCCUAACACAUGCAAGUCGAAAGGCAGCACAGUAAGAGCUUGCUCUUACGGGUGGCGAGUGGCGGACGGGUGAGGAAUACAUCGGAAUCUACUUUUUCGUGGGGGAUAACGUAGGGAAACUUACGCUAAUACCGCAUACGACCUACGGGUGAAAGCAGGGGAUCUUCGGACCUUGCGCGAUUGAAUGAGCCGAUGUCGGAUUAGCUAGUUGGCGGGGUAAAGGCCCACCAAGGCGACGAUCCGUAGCUGGUCUGAGAGGAUGAUCAGCCACACUGGAACUGAGACACGGUCCAGACUCCUACGGGAGGCAGCAGUGGGGAAUAUUGGACAAUGGGCGCAAGCCUGAUCCAGCCAUACCGCGGGGGUGAAGAAGGCCUUCGGGUUGUAAAGCCCUUUUGUGGGGAAAGAAAAGCAGCAGGUUAAGACCCCGCUGUUCUGACGGUACCCAAAGAAUAAGCACCGGCUAACUUCGU
rnacentral:rRNA from 1 species